rnacentral:rRNA from 1 species
AGAUGAAAAAUUAAUAAAUAAAAAUUAAUAGAAAAAUUUUUAAAUAAUAUUUAAUGGGGGUUAAAGUAUUUAUAAAGAAAAAAUUAUUAAUUUUAUAGUUCUAUUAGUAUUGUGUGAGAAAUUUGAAAUAAGUGAAAAUUUAAGUUAAUUUAAAGUAAAUUUAAUUUAUUGUAUCUUGUGUAUCACAGUUUAUUAAAUAAAUUUUAUAUUAAUAAAAAUCUCGAAUUUAAAAGAGGUUAAAUAAUUAAUAAAGUUAUUGUAGCAAAAAUAUUUUUAAUAAUUAUUUUGAAAUGAAAUGUUAUUCGUUUUUAAAGAUAUCUAGUUUUUUUAGAAAAAAAUUUAAUUUUUUAUUUACAAAAAAAAAUAAUUAAUUGAAAAAUUAUUUUUAUAGUACAUAUAAUAUUUUAAGGGAUAAGCUUUAAUUUAAAUUAUUAUAAUUAAAAAUAGUUUAUUUAAAAUUUUUAAAAUUUAUAUUGUUUAAAAAUUAUAAUUUUUUAUAAAUAAUUUUAAAAAAAUGAAAAUUUAAUAUAAUUUAAUUUUUUAUAAAAAUUUUUGUAAUAAUAAUAUUUAUAAAUUAAUAAUGAUAAAAUUAGUAUAUUUAAUAAAAAAUAAAAUUGAGUAAUUAUUAUAUAAUUAAAAGGAAUUCGGCAAAAUUUUAUAUUCCCUUGUUUAUCCAAAACCUGUCUUUUUGAGAAUAAUUUAAAGUCUAAUCUGCCCCCCGAUAAAAUAUUAAAGGGCUGCAGUAUUUUGACUGUACAAAGGUAGCAUAAUCCUUAGUCUCUUAAUUGGUGACUGGUAUGAAAGAUUGGAUGAAAUAUAAACUGUCUCUCACUUAUUAAGUAAAAUUUAAUUUUUUAGUUAAAAAGCUAAAAUAAAUUUAAAAGACGAGAAGACCCUAUAGAGUUUUAUAAAUUAAAAAAUUUAAAUUAUAUGUUAAUAUAAUAAUUAUAAAUUUUUUAAUUUAUUUUGUUGGGGUGAUAGAAAAAUAAAAAUAACUUUUUUUAUAUAUUUAACAUAAAUAAAUGGUUGAUUGAUCCUAAAUUUUAGAUUAAAAGAAAAAAUUACCUUAGGGAUAACACGCGUAAUUUUUUUUUUAUAGUUCAAAUAAGAAAAAAAGUUUGCGACCUCGAUGUUGGAUUAAGAUAAAAAUUAAAUGCAAAAGUUUAAAUUUUUGAUCUGUUCGAUCAUUAAAAUCUUACAUGAUCUGAGUUCAAACCGGUGUGAGCCAGGUUGGUUUCUAUCUUUAAAAAAUUAUAAUAUUUUAGUACGAAAGGAUCAAAUAUUAAAAUUAAAUUUAGUUUUUUGAAUAUUAUUAAAUAAAAUUAAUUUUUAAAUUUGUUAUAAAUAGGAGUUAA